UUUGUUUAUUGAUUUUCAGUUGCUGUAUAGCAACCGUGUUAUGUGCACAAUACAAAUCCAAAACGUGCUCUGAACGGAUUAUCGGCAUCGUACGACUUUUCGUUUUCCUCCGUACGAGGAACCUGCAACGGUUGUGGAAACGAAAAACUGUAAUCCUUCAAAGUAUCCAUCAAUCGAGGUUUAGCGCAACAAGAAAAAGAAACGAAGGAACGAUAAAGUCCGCUCUCGUUCCGUUAGUCAGCAGCCUUGGUGCUAGAUACUGUACUCCGUAAAUCGGUAAUAAAUGCGGCUCCUUAUCGCCCAAAGUAUCGAACGAUGCAACGUUAUCAGAGUUGGAAUUGAAAAGAGCGGCUUGCCUACCGAAACUGAACGAAUAGUUGGACGAGUGAUCCCUGUGGGUACUGACAGCCAACUUUCUCUCAGCGAGUCGCAGGAGAUAGGGACACAGAUGCAGCAGUAGUAUACAAGUGCGAAAUUGUGGGCCCUAUUCUCACAGUCAUGUCACUUAGUGACUAGAACAAAAUUCCCUUCUAUUUACUUGGUGAUGUGACUAUGAGAAUAGGGUCCUGUAUAUCUUUGAACCACAGAUGAAAAAUAUAUGCGAUUUAUCAACAGUGGAUGUACCAUGCUAGCCCGAUCAGGAAGCAAUUUUUACUUUUAUAUCAGCUUCUCACCCAGCUAUCUUUCUGUUGUUCCAAAAUGGAAAGGAGUAAUUAAUAUUGAAUGCUCCAAGUUUGUAUUUUAUUAGAAGUUUGAAAAUACACGAAAGAACUAAU